ACCUUCCCUCCGCUGGUUUUACCGUCUUGACAGAACCAUUCCCUCGCUAGCCCUACCUCAUCUCCCGUCUCCAGUCGCAGCCGCCGCCGCACCCCAAUCCAACCCCGCCGCCGGCGAUCUCCUCUCCCAAGGGAAUCCCAAGGGAAGGGAAGGGAAGGGAAGGAAAGGGAGAGGGAGCGCCCAGAUCCAACCCCGCCGAUCCCUUUGCCGCCGAACCCCUUGCCAUCGCGCUCGCAACAAGGAUCGAUGCCUCCAGACUACCCUCGAUCCGUGCGCUAUCUCCGUUGGCCGCCAACGCCUCCGAUCCCCUUCAGGACGCCCCUACGCCGCCGCCGAGAUCCGAGAGGAGUCUCCCUUCGCCGACGCGGAGAUCCCGUGCCUCUCUACAGAUCACUCUCUCUCCUCUCGAAAGCUGUCGCCUCUCUGUCGCUGUUGGUGCUCGAUGAAAGACGAGGGAGGCUCCUAUCGGCGAUUCCCUGUGGUCCUCGAUGGCUCCUCCCGGCGAUUCUCGAUGGUCCUCGGCGGCUCCUCCCGGCGAUACCCCAUGGUCCUCGACGGCGACGCCGGCUAGGCCAGUCCUCUCUCUCUCUCUCUCGCUCACCCAAUUUCCCCUGGCCGGCGAGCUAGGAUUAGGGUUAGCAGCUCGACGCCGCCACCCUGUCAUGUUGCAGGUGCUGCUAUUACCCGCUGUCGGGCCCGUGUGCUCGUGCGCUGUAGUCGCCAUGUCAUGUUGCCGCUGCUGUUUCUUGCUGAUGCAUGCCGCUUCUGCUCGUGGCCGACCCGUACUGAUGUUAUUAUUGUUCGUGGUUGGCCUCCCUGUGUGUUCAUGCUGCUGUUAUUUACCCUGCUCCUGUGUCGUGCUCGUGCAGCUGCAGCGAAAAGAUAAUGGGGCGAUGGGUGCCGGUGGCGGGCACUGGUGGUGGCGGAAGGCGCUGUGGAGGCGCUCGCUGCUACCCGGCACCACUUGGACACCACCGGGUUCAGCCUUGCGUGGACCUGGGUGGCAUCGCCUUUGCAGUUGUUCCUCGCCGUUGAGCAGUUGUGCGUUAUUUAUUUCCUGCUGCAAACAUACACAUGCCUGACUAUUACCUGAAAUGUGACACUUAUUUGUUGAUGAAAUACUUAUGUCAUGAUUUGGGAUUGCUUGUUCAGAAGCUUCCAUGAUAUCAGGUCCUUCACAAUUCAUGUUACAAUAGUAUAUUCCUCAAUAAGUUAGAUAUUGUGGUUUGCCAUUUUAGAUGAAUGAAUCAUCAGACUUUCAAUUGGUUUGUUAGUUAUAGCUGGCUGAUGAUUACUGCAACGCAGAGUUUGCGAUGGAACAAUAGACCUCUCGGCCGACAUCCUCUACAGAUCCUACACUGCCAUGGAGGAGGUGUUUCUGAAUCACGUGAGGAAGCAAUGGCUCGUCAAACCGCAGAUCUCCUCGGUUGGGUCAUGUUGUUUGGUUGGCAUUAUCAAUGAAGGGGUCCUCUACAUAGCAAACACUGGUGAUUCAUGUGUUGUCCCCGGGAGGGUCGAAAGAGGCGCCAAAGACAUUAAGGCAGUUCAGCUGUCAUCUGAGCAUAACGCGAGCUUUCUGGCUGUAAGGGAUGAGCUAAGACAGGUACACCCAAAUGACCCCCGGAUCAUGGCCCUGAAACACAAAGUUUGAUGCAUGAAGGGCAUUAUUCAGGUUUCCAGAAUGAUUGGCCACACCUACCUAAAAAGUUCGGAAUUUAAUCAUGAGCCCCUUCUGGCCUGGUUCCAUAUUCGGAGGCCCUUCCAUAAUCCAAUUCUUUGUCCCGAACCAUCCAUUGAAGAACAUAGACUGUGCAAAAUAUCAGUUUGUUAUAUUUGCAUCAGAUGGACUAUGUGAGCACUUAAACAAUCAGGAAGCUGUGGAUAUAGUUCAUUGUUCACCUCAGAAUGUUGAUUUGCAAGGGCUGUGUGGAGCGAACCAUGUUCCUCUAAACCAAGGGGUCCUUAUGGCCCUUCUCCUGCAACUGGCACGCAACAUAGCCGAUGAGAUAUCCCUGAAGCUUCAAGGGAUACAAAGGAUGUUAUUACUCAACCCACAUGAUUGGGAGUUAUAGAGGGACUUUAUGUCGCACAUUCCUGAUGUACUACAGGCUUACUGGGCUAAGAAUGAACAAUGCUAUAUCGAGCAAAUCUUCAUGGAUAUAUUAUGUUGUCCUAUCCUUUAGCUAGAGCUUGUUCUCUCUGCUUGCUCCAGAAUUGUUACAUAUAACUUCAAUAUGCAUGAACUAAUUUAUAUCUUACAGAGAUUUCAACUCCAUAUCAUUCAUGCAAGCUAAGCAGGUGUAUCUUGGUCUUAUGGAGUUUCCACCCACCAUCAUUAGCUGAGAUACAUUCUGCUAUGCAGCACAAUUUUGGGUAUAAGCUAAAUAACCUUAAUUUGAUGCAUGUAACUGGAAGAUGUGCCACAGGCAUGCUCAUAAUCGAUUAAUGGUAUAAUUAAUCUUUCUUGAUCUCAUCAGUUUCGUUUAGGUAGUAAGCAACCUACACCUCUGUAGCCUGAAGUUCAGAAGUUGGCAUGGUUUUAGUUGAGAAUAAUGUAGCAUUAUAUUAUUAGCUUAGACUUUGAGCAACCUGGAAGCAAGAUGUGAAUAGCAGAUCAAUAGCAUACACCUUUGUGGUUAUUGCCCUAUCUCAUGACAGAGAGAGAAGUAAAUAAAUCAAAGUUGUGAACAACGGAUGAGGUUUAAUUAAUUAUGUCCACGCCGUGCUUAUUAGCUUAUCUCAUAGUGACAAACUGAAUAUAACAAGUACCUACGAAUUAGAGAGCAAAAACAUUAGAAGUGCGUAAAAUGUUAUUCACUAUUUAUGUUCAUAUAGACCACGACAUAAAUUUUAGAUAUUGGUUUACUUAAUUAUGUACUAACUCGCAAAAUUUGCAGUACAUGGAGUAAAAUGCAGAAACAAUGAAAAAAUAAAAUAUUAACAGAGGUUGCGGUUGGAGAACCUCAGAAUCAUGCUCUUCUCUGAAAUCCAGUUAGCUGGGGUAAUCCCCCUCUAGAAACAUUGAUGGAAACUCAAUAUUAACCAAGGAACUUACAUUCCAUAGGCUCUCUCUGUCCCCUCAAGUAAGCAGGUCAUACAUUAGGAUGCUCAAGUUACAGUGACUUGAUGUAGGUAAGCAACUUUCACACAUUUUCUCUUCCAACCAUCCGAACCAUGCGGAGCUCCUGAUGUUAGGCCCGGGCAUGGGUUUCCGGGAGAACCUUCUCGUGCCUCAUGCGAAAGACUUCCCUGCAUUCGCGUGCCGCCACCAGAGCAGCAAGGCGCACAAAGGAUGGGUGGCAUCGGGCUUGCGCCGUGUACAUGGUGUGCAGGAGAGGAGGCAUGGUUCAAGUGCUUUUAUUGGAGGGAGUUGGUAUUAUCCAGAUCAUAGUUUUCCUGGAUUGUCUGAGACCAGUGCCUCAAAGCAACGUCGCAGCUAACAAGGUUAUUUGUAUACUAUUCUGCUACCAGUGUUAGGUCAUUCACAGUCACGCACCCCAGCCACAUGACCUAUGUUGUCUCUUUGUUGCGCGGCCGAGGCCCUUCAAUGCAGGGAGGAGGCGGCGUUCCUUAGCAACGCUGCAUCUUAUUACCUCGUCAUUCAUUUCUUAAUUUUUUUUCAUCAAGUUUGGAUUGCUUGAUGAAAAAAAGAAAAGAAAUGAACUUGAUGAAAAAAAUUAAGAAAUGAAUGACGAGGUAAGUAUGGUACAAGUGCCUUUUGUUUUUCCACGGUGGAGUAAAGGGGCUUCAAGGAUUGGAGUUACAAAGUCUACAUGUGAAACCAUAGAAAUAAUUUCUUAUUGAUAUCUCUUCUUUGUUCAUGUGUUCAUUUACUCAUAGUUUUCUUUUCAGUUUCUUGUAUUAGUUUGUUGUAACAAGGUCGGAGAUGAUGGAGAGAAAUGGUCCUGUAGGCGAAAGUUGUGCUUGUCGGUUAUGUGUUGUCCAGACCUUGUGCCGGCAGUGAGAACUGCAGUGAUGUGCCUCCACAUCUGUCAUCCAUCUAUCAAUUUCUUGGUAGUCAGUAAUAUUGCGACACUAUCUUUUUUGCAGCCUUGUGAUUUCUGUGAUGUGAUGUGCUGCUACUUCACCACUUUGCAAAGGAAUGAAUUAUAUCACUGAUAUUUAUUUGUUACCA